rnacentral:lncRNA from 1 species
GAUUUAACAGCUUUUGUUUUGGGCAGAAGAACCUAUGGGCACAAAAAGCAGGAACGAGUAGCGGUGGCUGAAGAACGAGCAGGAGCUUGAAUUUCAGUUUUCUUAUGAGGAAUUUUCCAGAAAAGAUAUCUUCACUGUGAAAUAACUAAAUAAAUGCCCACUCAGUACAGUCACUGUCUCCCUUUUGGAACUUGAUGGCACCUUAAGCCCAGGUUUGCCUCCACUCUAGAAACUCAUCAGAGUGAUGCCCUUCUCAAAUGGGGGAGGUCCCAAAGCGGAUAUCCUGGCAGUGUGAAAGGCCGGCUAAAGGUUUGUGCCAAGAGGAUCUGUGGAAUGCAUCUCCUACAGCUGGUGCUGCUGAGUAACCACUCUGAUCUGGCAUCUUCUUUGAUCAAGUUACAGAGCAGAGUUUCCAGGGCUGGGGAUUGAAGUCCUGCCUCCUCCCUUUGUCUCUGGUUGUCCUCGGUAAUGUUUUUCCCUCAAGACAAAAAUACCUGCUACAUGCUUCCUUCUGUAUGAAUACAUGAGACCUACCUUCAUUCAUGUUUCCUCUAUGAAGCUUUCCCUGCACUCCAAACACAGAGCUGAGACUUCCACCUAAUGUAGAAAGCUAGCACGAGCCGGCGCUGACAGAUGGAAGACUUGAGAUGUUACAAGAUUAUAUAUGGAAACACAAAAGGAGUGGAGUUGCUGGGUCAUAUGGCAAUUCAUUUGAGGAACUGAGAAGCUUAUUCCAUGGAGGCUGAACUGUUUUAUAUUCCCACCAGCAACGUGUAAGGUUCCAGUUUAUCUACAUCAUCACCAACACUUGCUAUUUUCCAUUUCAUUAAUGAUAGCCAUCCUAGUGGAUUUGAAGUGGUACCUUAUUAUCGUGGUUUUGAUUGCAUUCUCUAUUGACUAAUGAUAUCGAGCAUCUUUUCAUGUAUUUUUUGGUCAUUUGGUCAUUUUUCUUUUUUAAUUUUAAAAUUUUGAGACAGGCUCUCACUAUGUUGCCCAGGUGGUCUCAAACUCCUGGGUUCCAGCGAUGCUCAUGCCUCAGUCUCCCAAAGGGGUGGGAUUACAGGUGUGAGCCACUUUGCCCAGCCCAUUUGUAUAUCUCCUUUGGAGAAUAUCUAGGUUCUUUUGAAGGUAGCUGCAUAUAAACUAGCCAAAUUAACAGACUGUGGUUUUUAGAUGGCUUUCCAUAUCUACAAGAACUAUUUAGUUCUCAAAACUGGGAAGAAAUGUUUCAGAGGCAUCAUUAAUUCAUAAUCUAAAAAUUUAUCUUGGGUUUCCUUUUUUCCCCCAGAUUCUGUAUCCUCCAUAGUCCUAUUCAUGACAUGGGUCGUUCAUCUCUGUAUUCUAAACCCUCAAUGAACUGUAGACAGUAAUAAAUAUUUAUUGGAUGAAUGGUCUCUCAUCAGCCACCUUUUCUUUUUUUUUUUUUGAGACAGAGUCUCACUCUGUCACUCAGGCUGGAGUGCAGUGGCGCGAUCUCGGUUCACUGCAACCUCUGCCUCCCGGGUUCAAGUGAUUCUCCCACCUGAGCCUCCCGAGUAGCUGGGAUUACAGGUGCACGCCACCUUGUCUGGCUAAUUUUUGUAUUUUUAGUAGAGACAGGGUUUCACCGUGUUGGUCAGGCUGGUCUCAAACGCCUGACCUCAGGUGAUCUGCCCGACUUGGCCUCCCAAAGUGCUGGGAUUACAGGUGUGAGCCACCGCACCUGGCCUCCAGCCUCUUUUCUUUUUUUUUUUUGAGACAAGUCUAACUCUGUCACCCAGGCUGGAGAGCAGCGGCAUGAUCAUGGCUCACUGCUGCCUCAACCUCAGAGGCUCAAGUCAUUGUCCCCACCUCAGCCUCCCUAGUAGACUGGACUACAGGCAUGUGCCACCACACCCAGCUAAUUUUUCAUCAGCCACCUUUUCUAACCAUCUGUCUGCACUGACUUCCCAGGUUCUGCAUCAUUAUUGGUUUACUGAGACAAUGCACUUCACCCGUCCUUCAAUCCCAAAGUAGCACAGAAUAUCAGGAGUUCUUUGAGCCCCUAAGUGCCCUACUUUCCCAGGGUCAGGGGACCCUGACAAGCAAGGUCCCCACAUCUUUCUGUGGUUGGAUAGGGAUAUAAAAUUUCUCACACAUGUUAAAUCAAGAUACUUUGGCCAGGCACGGUGGCUCACACCUGUAAUCCCAGCACUUUGGGAGGCUGAGGUGUACAGAUCACUUGAGGUCAGGAGUUUGAGACAAGCCUGGUCAACAUGGUGAAACUCCCAUCUCUACUAAAAAAAAAAAAACUUUGGGAGGCCGAGGUGGGUGGAUCAUGAGGUCAGGAGUUUGAGACCAGCCUGGCCAACAUGGUGAAACCCCGUCUCUACUAAAAAUGCAAAAAUUAGGUGGGUGUGGUGGCACACAGCAGUAGUCCCAGCUACUCAGGAGGCUGAGGCAGGAGAAUUGCUUGAACCUGGGAGGCAGAGGUUACAGUGAGCUGAGAUCAUGCCACCGCACUCCAACCAGGGCAACAGAUCAAGACUCCAUCUUGGGGAAAAAAAAAAAAAUUAGCCAGGCUUGGUGGUGGAUGCCUGUAUUCCCAGCUUCUUGGGAGACUGAAGCAGGAGGAUCGCUUGAACCCAGGAGGCAGAGGUUGCAGUGAGUUGAGAUUGUGCCACUGUACUCCAGCCUGGGCAACAGAAACAAUACUCCGUCUCAAAAAAAAAAAAAAAAAAAAAAAAUCAAGACACCAAACACACACAACUAAUUAGCUCUAUAAAUUGAAUUAAAAGAAAAUCCAUACUGACUUGCUUUCCCAUCUGUCCAUAUUUGUCUAUCCAAAUGAUUAAGGGCUAGAGAAAAUACAGAUGAUGAUGGCUGAGAUGGGAUAAAACUAUAAAUUGACUUGGUUCCAUUUACCUCCCAGAAUCAGCAUACAGUGACAAAGUAGAGAGAAAAGGUCUGGGCACCACAAACUUGUACUUGUGCUAGAAAUGUAGGUGCCUUUUCAUUUGCCCAGCAGGGCUAGUUUAACAGCCAGGGUAUCUUCUGGGACUCUUCCCCAAAUCUUGCUCUACCGCUGACUAGCUAUGUGAUCUUGGGCAAGUUUCUCAACCUUUCUGUGCCUUUCUUCCUUUACUUAUAAAUAAGGAUAACAGAAUUUGCUUCAUAGAGUUAGUCUGAGGAUUCAGUAAGUAGAUACGUG